UGGGGAAUAUUGGACAAUGGGCGCAAGCCUGAUCCAGCCAUGCCGCGUGAGUGAUGAAGGCCCUAGGGUUGUAAAGCUCUUUCACCGGUGAAGAUAAUGACGGUAACCGGAGAAGAAGCCCCGGCUAACUUCGUGCCAGCAGCCGCGGUAAUACGAAGGGGGCUAGCGUUGUUCGGAUUUACUGGGCGUAAAGCGCACGUAGGCGGACUUUUAAGUCAGGGGUGAAAUCCCGGGGCUCAACCCCGGAACUGCCUUUGAUACUGGAAGUCUUGAGUAUGGUAGUGGUGAGUGGAAUUCCGAGUGUAGAGGUGAAAUUCGUAGAUAUUCGGAGGAACACCAGUGGCGAAGGCGGCUCACUGGACCAUUACUGACGCUGAGGUGCGAAAGCGUGGGGAGCAAACAGG
rnacentral:rRNA from 1 species